UUCAAUUUAUUUUUCUUUUUAGAAGAAUAUAUUGAAUUUCUACCCUGUUUAGCAGAGAUUAAUCAGGUACUUUUCUGUCAUUUUACGCUGGGCUUUGUCGCAUUUCUAAAUGCAAAAGCUGCGGCAAGACUUGCUCUGCUUGAGGUGCUUCAGUUGUAGGUAUUGACCAGAAUGAGCAUUUGAGCUGGUUGAAGUGAGAUUCUUCUUUUGUGACACACACACACAUACUGGGUUCAGGACGAUCCUUGGGCACUUUGAUUGGAAGCUGCUUAACGAUGCAGAUGUUCUGGUUUUGCCCCUGCCCUGGAGUUUUCCUAGAAAACUCUAGUCUUUCGCAUUUGGUGCAGUCAGCAUCUGUUGUCAUGAGAAAUGAGAGUGGCAGGCCUGUUUCUUGUAUUAAACAACGGAAAGAAUGAUCAUAAACCUUCUCCUGCCUAUGGCUAACAAAAAUCACUUUUGCAAUACUUGGUAAUUCUCAUGAAGAUCAGUCCAUAAAUUCCAUGAAUUACAGGAUGGGUGUCAACUUUGAGUUUCUAAUUUUUUCUGUACAUAUUAGAAGCACCGAUUGACUGUAAAUUUUAACAUUUUCCAGGCAGCAAUAGUGGAGCUCGAGCUGCUAUUAGCCUAUUAGAAGGAAAUUCCCUGCGUGUACUUCUAGCCGUCACUGAGUAGACUUGGGAAGUUUGCUAGGCAACUGCCUUUAUUUUGAGUAGACUUUGAAAAAUUUUGUGCAAAAAUUGAUACAAAUUGUUAAAUUUUGAUUAGACUUUAAGAGGCCUCCCAUUGUACUCGUAAUGCUCUAACCCAACACUCAAUUUGGGAAAGUUAUUACAAAUAUCCUAUCUCCUAUAUUUUGCUCUA